rnacentral:rRNA from 1 species
UACGUAGGCAGCGAGCGUUGUUCGGAGUUACUGGGCGUAAAGAGUGCGUAGGCGGUUUUCUAAGUUUGGUGUGAAAUCUCCCGGCUUAACUGGGAGGGUGCGCCGAAGACUGGAAGGCUUGAGUAUGGGAGAGGUAAGCGGAAUUCCUGGUGUAGCGGUGAAAUGCGUAGAUAUCAGGAGGAACACCUGCGGUGUAGACGGCUUACUGGACCAUCACUGACGCUGAGGCACGAAAGCUAGGGUAGCAAACGGG